UUGAUGGCUCUUUCUCUCUAGAGAACAGUUUCUAUACUACUGUUUAAAAAAGAGACCUUCUAUUAAUAAACAACAUAUGACACUGUCGUCAUCACUGUGCAUCUUUGUGUAUAUUACUGCACCUUUAUAUCCAUGUCAUCCAAGGAGCUUGUACCAAAAAUGGUAUCUUCAUGAUGAUGUGACAUGAAUGUCCCUGGGAUUUU
rnacentral:lncRNA from 1 species